UUUGUUCAUAUCGGCGACCCAUUUUAUGAAAUUCAUGUGAUAAUUUUAUAUUUUGCAACAUUGGCUGUUUUAUGCGAAUAAAAGAUUUCCAAGUACAGAGAUGGCACUAUUCAUCUACAAAGCACUGUUGGGUAUAGGGGUCAUAGUAGCACUUGCAGCUUUCUAUGCACGACCAGUCUAUCCUGAAACUGCCAGCAACUGAGGGUUGAAGACUUUCAAUGGACUUGCCAUCAAAUUCAUCGGUGUUUUGAGUCAUAUUGGUGGAUAUUUUGGAUUUUCGCCUGUUAACAGCACGAGAUCAAUGUUGAACAUCAUAACUUUUAUGGACAAGAAAUCGCCCAACGUCGAGAGAUAUACAACGACAAUGGAUGGAGUAGAGGUGAUUGUAUUUAAGCCAGCUGGACAUACUGAUGACCUCCGUGCCGGAAUAGUUCAUUACCAUGGUGGAGGAUGGGUCCAUAUGUCGCCAGAUAUGUAUGCUGCUUUCAUCGAGGAGGUCGUGGAAGAAACUGGAAGUGUUCUUGUCUCCGUAAAG